GAUGAAGAACGCAGCGAAAUGCGAUAAGUAAUGUGAAUUGCAGAAUUCAGUGAAUCAUCGAAUCUUUGAACGCACAUUGCGCCCGCCAGCAUUCUGGCGGGCAUGCCUGUUCGAGCGUCAUUUCAACCCUCGAGCCCCCCCGGGGGCCUCGGUGUUGGGGGACGGCACACCAGCCGCCCCCGAAAUGCAGUGGCGACCUCGCCGCAGCCUCCCCUGCGUAGUAGCACACACCUCGCACCGGAGCGCGGAGACGGUCACGCCGUAAAACGCCCAACUUCUUAGAGUUGACCUCGGAUCAGGUAGGAAUACCCGCUGAACUUAAGCAUAUCAAUAAGGAGGA
rnacentral:misc_RNA from 1 species